GUAUGAAAUUGUCUGGAUAUAAUAUAUGAUAACAAAAGAAAUUAAUUUUCAUUGUUUUUUAUGUGAUAUUUAAAAGUUGAUCAAAACGAAUUUGUAAAUA
rnacentral:misc_RNA from 1 species